rnacentral:rRNA from 1 species
GUACGGGAGGCAGCAGUAGGGAAUUUUGCGCAAUGGACGAAAGUCUGACGCAGCAACGCCGCGUGAGGGAUGAAGGCCUUCGGGUUGUAAACCUCUGUUGAGUGGGAAGAAAGGCUUCGGGGCUAAUCUACCGGAGUUUGACGGUACCGCUCGAGUAAGCACCGGCUAACUACGUGCCAGCAGCCGCGGUUAUACGUAGGGUGCAAGCGUUGUUCGGAAUUACUGGGCGUAAAGGGAGCGUAGGCGGGAUCGUAAGUUAGGAGUUUAAUGCGUGGGCUUAACCCACGAUCUGCUUUUAAUACUGCGAUUCUUGAGUAUGGGAGAGGGUGAUGGAAUUCCAGGUGUAGCGGUGGAAUGCGUAGAUAUCUGGAAGAACACCAGUAGCGAAGGCGGUCGCCUGGCCCAAUACUGACGCUGAUGCUCGAAAGCUAGGGGAGCAAACAGGAUUAGAUACCCUGGU